ACUUAUACAAGGCUUUAUUUUACUCUGUGUAUUUAUUUUGUGAAUUUCAAAAUAUAAAUGAAGUAGACAUGAAGAAACCGUUCUCGAGUUUGGAAAAGGAUUUAUUUUUGAAUAUCAUACAAAAAUAUGAUACAAUCCUAACCUGCAAACAAACAAACGCUACGAGUGCUUUAAAAAAGAAGCAGUCAUGGGAGAAUAUAGCGAGGGAAUUCAAUGAAUCCUGUAUUGUUACUCAAAAGGCAUCUACAAAACAAUUAAUAAAGCUAUGGUAUAACAUGAAGGCAGAGGCAAGGGAGUCUAAAACAAAAGAAAAUAUUCGCCACUUAACAGGAGGUGGGCCAUCUUUUAUGGAUAUGGAUCCUAUUGAUUCCUAAGUCAUGGAUAUAGAUAAAAAUAUCCUUACUAACAUUGCUGUGGAUAUUGACAGCGAUAUUGAUGGGAGCGUAGUCAUAUUAGGGGAUACCAAUAAUGAAGCUUGGUGUAAAACAGCAGAAGCAACAAUGCAAGUUACUCAAGAGGAAAAGGAAAUAGAGUUCAAAACUCCUAGCAAAAAGAGUUAUGAAAAUUUGAGAAUUAAUAAAAUAGAUUUACUGAAGUGUAAAAUAUUGGAAGAAGAAUUAGAAUUUAAGAAAAAAAUGCAUGAGGAAGAACUCAAGAUUAAAGUUAUAGAGAGGGUUCACAAAGAAAAUUUGUUUUAAACUGAAAUAAAAAUAAAACAAAAAGAAUUAGAAAAAUAUGACAAAGAAUCAAUAUGAAACCCUUUCAUGUACUUUGGAUUUUUCUUGUAAAUAAAUAAAAUAUAAUGUAAGUGAAAAUAUUGGUUUUAUUUUAAAAUUCAUUUAAAAUGUGUAAUAGCGUGAAAUUAUAUUCGCUCGAAGUACCAAACCAUCACUGGUACCUGUUGUGCUUGUCGUUGUUGUGUUAGAAGGCUGAUGUGCAUUAUUGUCCACGGUGUCAUCAAAUUCAAAUAUGUCAUUUACUUCUACUGCAAUGUCGUGGAGCACUGCACAAGCCAUUAUGAUAUUGGCUGUUGAUGAAAGUUUGGUUGCUAAACCGAUUUGUAAGCAUGGAAAACGUCUUUUCCAAACUCCAAAUAAACGUUCUACUGAAUUUCUUGAUUUUAUUUGCACUUUAUUAUCGCUCUCCUCUUGUGCAGUUCUAGGAUUUGAAACUGGAGUCAGUAAAUGUCUGAAAUAAAGAAUGCUUUAUUGUUAACAAAUGAGCGGUAUUGCAGUGAGGUAUUUAUGAUACUUUGAUGACCACAUGGCACAUAGUACUCAUACAGUUAUAAACUAAUAUUGUUAUGGGAUAUCUUCCAUGAUUGUUUUUUUUUAUUUUGAGUAAGUAAUAACAAUAUUAGUUUAAAGUUCAAACCGUGAAAGCUUAAAACAGUUCCAUACAGUUUUAGUUUUAUUGUUUAUGAAUAAUAAUAAA